AGGACGAACGCUGGCGGCGUGCUUAACACAUGCAAGUCGAGCGGAAAGGCCCUUCGGGGUACUCGAGCGGCGAACGGGUGAGUAACACGUGAGUAAUCUGCCCCUAGCUCUGGGAUAGCUCCGGGAAACCGGGAUUAAUACCAGAUACGACCACUUUAGACAUCUGUUGUGGUGGAAAGAAUUUUGGCUAGGGAUGAGCUCGCGGCCUAUCAGCUUGUUGGUGAGGUAACGGCUCACCAAGGCGACGACGGGUAGCCGGCCUGAGAGGGCGACCGGCCACACUGGGACUGAGACACGGCCCAGACUCCUACGGGAGGCAGCAGUGGGGAAUAUUGCGCAAUGGGCGAAAGCCUGACGCAGCGACGCCGCGUGGGGGAUGAAGGCCUUCGGGUUGUAAAGCUCUUUCGCUCGGGACGAUAAUGACGGUACCGAGAUAAGAAGCCCGGCUAACUUCGCGCCAGCAGCCGC
rnacentral:rRNA from 1 species